GUUAUUAGAAAACACUCCAAAAUAUGUAAAUUGGUUUUUAUAAAGCACCCCAAAUGAUAUAAUUUAGGUAUUAGAAAACACCCCAAAAUUUAUGCAUUUGUUACUAGAAAACACCCCAAAGCUUAUGCAUUGGGUAUUAUAAAACAGCUGAAAGUUUUUGCAGUGGGUAAUACAAAACACCACAAACUUUUUCGUAGAUGAUAUAAUAAAUAAAAAAGAUAUUACGGAGUCUCCAAUUUUGGUCUGAUAAUGUACAUGUAUAAUAAAACGAC
rnacentral:lncRNA from 1 species